GACGUAGGGCGCGAGCGUUGUCCGGAUUUAUUGGGCGUAAAGAGCUCGUAGGCGGCUUGUCGCGUCGUCCGUGAAAACCUGCGGCUCAACUGCAGGCUGGCGGUCGAUACGGGCAGGCUGGAGUUCGGUAGGGGAGACUGGAAUUCCUGGUGUAGCGGUGAAAUGCGCAGAUAUCAGGAAGAACACCCGUGGCGAAGGCGGCUCCUCUGGAACGCAACUGACGCUGAGACGCGAAAAAAGCGUGGGGGGAGCAAACAGG
rnacentral:rRNA from 1 species